rnacentral:rRNA from 1 species
CCUACGGGAGUCUGCAGUGGGGAAUAUUGCACAAUGGGGGAAACCCUGAUGCAGCGACGCCGCGUGAGUGAAGAAGUAAUUCGGUAUGUAAAGCUCUAUCAGCAGGGAAGAAAAUGACGGUACCUGAGUAAGAAGCCCCGGCUAACUACGUGCCAGCCGCCGCGGUAAUACGUAGGGGGCAAGCGUUAUCCGGAUUUACUGGGUGUAAAGGGAGCGUAGACGGCAGUGCAAGUCUGGAGUGAAAGGCGGGGGCUCAACCCCCGGACUGCUCUGGAAACUGUACGGCUGGAGUGCAGGAGAGGUAAGUGGAAUUCCUAGUGUAGCGGUGAAAUGCGUAGAUAUUAGGAGGAACACCAGUGGCGAAGGCGGCUUACUGGACUGUAACUGACGUUGAGGCUCGAAAGCGUGGGGAGCAAACAGGAUUAGAUACCCGAGUAGUC